ensembl:lincRNA
CUUCUCUUUGUCUGACAGUGGGACAUACUAUUUCUGCAGUCGAAGCUUUCCCUGAUGACUAAAAAGCAACAUAAACUGCAUGGUGGCCGUGGGCCGCAGACUUGGCGAGACUCCACCAGUGGAGGUGGUGCCGGCGGUGGCGGCAGAGGUGCCCGAGGGGGAGCCCCUGUCACUGAGCUGAGGAAGGGAAGUCGUGUUGCUGUGAGGAGGGGAACCGCUAGGUGGAGGAAGGCUUAAACGGACAGGGGCGGGCACACCGAAAGACUCCACCCAGGGGCCGGACGAGGGAGGAGCCGGGGCUGCGGCGAGAGGCGGGGCGAACCGGGUGACGUGCGGGAGGCCUCUCUACUGAGGCCAACCGCACCGGAGGUAACGCGGGUGCUUCGUGCUGUGAGUAAGCCGAUUGGUCCUAUCGCGAUCGGGAGGCGUGGCGCCUACCGGAAACUAGGCCACGUGACCCGGAAGCGGCUACUGCCACGGCCGGUGCGCUUGCGUAUUUGUGCUCUUGUCUCGGGGAUGCGCGCGGGCGGUUUCGGUUUCUCUUGCGCUUAACUGCCCGGAGGAUGGGGUUCCGCGGCGCCCUCAGUUGACCCCUUGGUGCAGGAUAGGGAGGGUCCGGACCGCAAAGAGCCGAAUUCGAGUUCCAAUGAUUCUCCUUGCCCCCAAAGAGUGGGACAGAGAGGUGUGACGGUCGGUGAGAAUAGUGGGAGGAGGGGAGUGCUACCCCUUGGGAAAACAAACCGGCUCUGUUGAAGCUAGCGCUCGCGCUCCCAGGGCGGCCCCGCCUUCGAUUCGCCCUGCCACAGCCCUAGCCCCGACACUUUCGCCCCAAGCUUCGCCAGUCUCUGCGGGCCCGCCUCGCCGGUUCAGUGCUGCGGACUGGAUGAGUUACUGUCCGUUCUGGGCUGCAAAGUCCCGGCAGCACUUCGUCUUCGGUAUCCCGCUUCCUUCACACGCGGUCGCCCUCACCAGCCGCCUGGGUUCCAGUUUACCCUUGCCGACGACUUGCUGUGCCUGGCAUGUCCUUCCUCUCAAAUGUCACAUCUGUGAAGCCUCACCUAAAACUCUGAAACAUCAGACAGUUCAAAGAUAGCUGUAAUACUACGAAACGAAAACUGAUUCUAAGUCCUCCCUUUGCUUUUUUUCCUGUGCAAAACUCGUUUGUCCUCAAGGUUUCUGAGAUCGACACCUGCAAGAUUAAACUCAUUGGUUAUGCUCCUGUGUUGGUCUGUGAAUCAAAAACUGAGGACUGGCGACUUACUGGUGAUAUAUUGGCAGUCUCAUCUCUGUGUUUACCUAGCCAAAAAAAGGUAGGGGUGGGGGUAGGGAGGGAAGGCAUUAUGGGAAAAAUAAUUAGCAGCUGAAAGCAGCUAUUACAUAAUCCUGGCUGCUUAUUAAUUUAGCAGAAGAAAUGGCUUAUUAAAUUCUAAUAGCAACAGCACAACUGCAAACAACCUAGCAAUUAACAGUGCAGGGCCAUUAUUUUGUUAAUAUGUUCUCUUCUUCUGGCAAGUGUAUAAGAACAAAAUUUGUAGAAGCAGAUGGUCUUUUUCAGUAGAUUAUAGAUGGUUUAUUCCCCAGUUUUAGUAUUAAGUGAUAAUUGUGAAUUCACUGUGAAAGAAAAAAGAAAGGCAGUUGCCAUCUUUGUUAGUAAUUAAUUGCUUGACUUUGAUUCCCACAAUUUCCAAAUUGUAGCCUUUGUUAUAUACAUUUCUUCUUAUCUAGUAUCUUUUUCAUCUGUCGUGUCAAAAGGGUAUCAUUUUCAGUCCUUUUUUUGUUUUGUUUUUUGUUUUCUGAAUGAUCCUGAUUUCUUGGUGUUAAUAAUAUAAAAAUUAGAAGACAAAAUUAUUUUUUAAAAAUUAAAAAUCAGACUUAAUACUUGUAUCCUAAAUAUUAAAAAAGUGCCUUGCUGGCAUUUGUGCUAAAUGCAAGAGAUGAGGGGGAAAUAAGGAUUUUACCUUUUAACAAUAAAAUUGUUGGGCUUUAUGUAAUUGUUCAAAGUUCUCAAAGUAAUUUUAAUUUCCUGUUAAAUGUAUGAUGGCCAUAUGUUUUUAUCCCCUCUCCUCAAAAGACCAUUAAAUGAAGAAAACAAAACAAAACAAGCCCAAGAUGGGGGGAGUGUUUAAAACAUACCCACAAUUACAAUAGGAGGGAAACAUAACCACAUGGACAUCAACAGAACAACUUAUCAUGAAUAUGUCUGUAGUGUCAGAGUAUACUAUCAACUCAUCAUUUAAACACUGAUGAUUUAAAUAAAAUUGUAUUGACAAUAUAGAGCAGAAGUUGAAAUAAUGCUAAAAUAGAUACUAUCUGAAAUAAGUUCAGAAAUAGAAUUAUUAAGAUAUUCCUUAGAUACCAGGACUAAAAUCCAGAAGCAACAGCAGAUUUCUUUCCAGG